UUUUAUUCAUAAGAAGAUGAGGAAAUCACCAUGGAUAGGUUUCAGAAUGGUAAGUUUAUUUUACUAUAUUAAAGUUAGUUUUGUGGUUUUGUUACAACUUCUAAAUUGAUAUUGUUAUUUUGAGUUGGAGAAAUCAAACGCCACUGGGUUGAAUGAUCAAAAGGCCAACAUUGAAGCUGGUGAAUCUGAGUCAGAUGACAAAGAUAAAUCUGACUCUUAACUCUGAUGUGUUUUAGAUGGGUUUAAAUGACGAUGAGAAUGACUCGAAAAAAGAAGAGGAAACACCUUAAGGUAUUUUCCUAAAGAACUGGUUCUUUGCAAGAGCUUACGAACAUUUUAGCUUUGAAAGCUUGUGAAAUUUGGAUCAAUAAUGCAAGGAAUAAAGAGUGGAACCACUGAGCAAGAGACCCAAUGGUGGAGCAAUAAACAACAACAACACAAUUGUGUCAAAGAAUCCAAAGAUGCAAGUCAGCAUAAGCCGUAAGGUAACUAAACCCAACUAAAGCUAGAGCUGUAAAAGCUCAAAACUUUGAAUAUGAACAGUUGGAUUAAUGUUUUGUUACAAACUAACUUGGUGCAGGAGGGAAUACGUGCACAAGUGCGGCGGUGUUUGUUCUCCAAAAAGAAACCAGAGAACGGGCCAAGUCACAUUUUUCAUAAAAAAAUUUAAUAUUUUUUUCCUAUUGGUGAAUAGUUGAGUGGGUGAGUGAGGAUUUGAGUUUAGUAGGCUAAAUAUCUUGGAUUCAAUAUUUAUUUUAACUGCAUUGAGUUGUCGAGGGAUGUGGUUUACAGUUUUUUUUAAGUAUGGUUUUUUUAUUGAUUUUUUAUUUAACGUUUCACUUUAAAUAAAAUAUUUUAUUAGAUUAAGAAUUUGAAAUGAAUUCAUUUUUUCCUCAAAAUAUUUUUUAAUUGGAUUCAUAUUCUACAAGAAUAUAAGAAAUGCAAUGUUAUUUUAUUAAUCAUCUGUAAAAGCUCUUUCAAAGUUCUUAUAACAUUCGAAUAAGUAUUAACAAUACAUCAAAUGCUCUAUAAAUAAUAUUUAUGUCUAGCAAUACAUCAAAUAGUUGUGGUUUUCUUUUUUUUUGGUUUAACUUAAAUUUUGGUGAUAAAAAAAAGAAAAAAAAAUUAGUAAUAAAAAAAGGAAACAAUUAAGGAAUUCAUUAUUUUUUUAAAUUUUUGUUAAUGUGAAUUUGAAGAAUCAUCAAAAAAACAAAUAUGUUUUUCCAAAUAUGAUAAUACACAAACAUAUAAGCUAACAUGUUAUUUAUAAAUAUUAAACCGUAACAAAGAAUAACAUAUUUUAUUGUUACUUGCUUAUUGUUCUUUAAAAAAAAUUGAAUUUUCUUUUUAGAAUUUUUUAAAUUAUAAUAUUUAAGAAGAAAUUUAUUACAAAUCUAAUAAAUUCAAGAAAAGAACAUAUUGUGAACAAAGUAAAAUACUUAUAAUAUUUAUGAAUUGUUUUAAUAUUAUAACAAAUAUAUAAUUUGUAAAAAAGUAAAAUUUGUAGUAAAAAUAGUGAAAAUUAUAAUUAAAAAAACUUAAAUUUAUUAAAAAUUAAAAAUGUAUUUGUACUGUUUCGUUUAUUUGCUUAGCCGCCCAUCCGAGUAUUAUAAAUAAACUUGUUAUUUUCUCUCUUGUGUGUGCACGACUCCCAUGAUUUGUCGUGUAGAAAAAGAUGAUUAGUUUUUUUGACCCAUUUGUAAACUGUAGAUUCUACAUCUAAUCUAUUAAAAGAGAAGUACCAAUUGAGACUAACCCUUAAACUUGCACAAUAUUUACAGUUUAAUGCCAUUGAAAUAAUUAAAUGAACCUACUUUUAAGUAAUCUUUGUCUUUUCCAAAAUUAAUGAAGUAAUAAUUACUCCUAAUUUUAUGCUUUUCAUGUCUUUUUAAAAAUUAAUAAAACAUUUCCUAAAUUAAAUUCACAAUCAAUUAAAUAUAAAUCUUUUAACUUAUCUAUAUCAUAUUAAUAUUAUAAACAUUCAUGAAUAUGAAUAAUAUACACAAUAUAUUUAUGUAACAAUAUAAAUUACAUUUUUGUCUUAUUUUCUCCCACAAUUUACGUUACUCUUCUUUUUUUGAACAAAUUCUUCUUCUUACCAAUAUAAAUAUAUUACAUGCACCAUUACAAUUAUUUACAAACUUACCAUGUAUAUAAAAUAAUUUAUUAGACAUUCUCAUUAAAUUUUGAUCCACAAAAAAACAAAAUACAACAUUUGAAUUGAUGCAAGGAUCAUAUUCUAAAAAUGGUGGUAAUACAAUUGACGGUUUACAAGAUAAAAUAAAAUUUAAAAAUAUAAACUAUAAAAUUAUUAUGCUUAUAAAUUUUAUUAAAUAAUUAUUUAACACAGGUAAAAUUUUAAAAUACAUAUUAUCACUUAGACAAAAUAAAUAUUUAUUUACAAAAAUAAAAGCAAACAUCUACAAGGUCGUGGUUUAAAUGUACACAAAUUUAAACUCAUUUAUAAUUUCUUAUCGUUACAUCAAAUUUUAUUUUAUUUUUAAUCUUAAUUUGUAUAUGUUCCAAAUUUCAUAGAAGUUUAACAAUCAUUUUAUUUUUUUACAAAUAUUAUAACUAAUGUUUCAUUUAUAAAUAGCAUACUAAUUCAUAAUUGUCUAUUUUUAUACUUUUCAUUUAAAAAUUGUGUUAGCUAUAUAUCUUAGACAUGGAUAUUAUUAUAUAAAUGUUAGAUUUUUUAUAUAAUACCUAAUAUCGGUGAAACAUUUUACGCUAAAAUAUAAAAUUAAGUACAAAUAUAACAUUUACAUUUAAAAAUGUGACUACAUUAACAAAUAUAUCAUUAAAUACAAACACAAAUUAAAUAUUCGCGCGGUCGCGCGGGUCAAGGUCUAGUUCUUGUUAAAAUAAUUGAAUUCCACAUAUUUUAGUUUCUUUAAUUUUUACGGUGACUUUUAAUUUAUACCAGUUGAUUUAUUUGGAUAACUAUUCUUUCGACAUUAGCGUGAGUAAAAAUAGAGGCAAAUGUUCUCCACACAAAACCAUGUUGUAUUUUACUUGGGUCAUGUCUGUUUCCAAAUUUAGCUCAAGCCAUUAAUAUACUAUUUAAAAAUAGAGGCAAACGUUUUCCACACAAAACGAUUACAAAUACAGGAUACAGAUAAUUUUAUUACUUCAAAAAUUAUAUCUCACAAAAAAAAAAUGAAUAAAUUCAUAGUGUUUCUAUUUGCUAUUACAAUAUGUUUUGAAUCGAGUGAAGCUUUUUGCGCAAAAAGUAAUGUAGAGAUCAGGAACGAACUCGGCAAAGGUAUUAAGCUCGAAAUCGAAUGUAGAACUGUAGAACCAACCAAAAACUUGGGGAGAGUGUCUAUACCAUUCAAUGACAGAAUGGCUUAUGGAUUCGUGGCUGUUUAUGAACGAAGACACAGAACUAUACAUACUUGUAAUAUAUGGUACGCGAGUCCGAAAAAUCCGAGAAAUCCUCGCGGUGGAAUGCACAUUGUAAAUAAGCUUGAAACAUUUGCAGCGGGCUCGAAUAGAUGUGGUCAAUACCGUGAAUGGGUUGCCAGACCUGAUGGGAUUUACUUCAGAAGAAAUGUUAAAGACGCAUUUGAACGUAGAAAAGACUAUUCAUGGAAUACACUAUACUUUUAAAUAAGUUUUUUUCUUAUAACUUAAAAAAGAAUAUUUAUUUAAGUUGAUUAUUUGUAUUUGUAAAUAACUAAUCCCUAAGUUUUGUAUUAAUAAUGUGCUACAAAUAUGUAGCAAAAUGUAAUAAAAUGUGAGGUUAUUAAAUGAUUAUAUAUAUAUAUAUAUAUAUUUAUAUACAAGUGUUAGAGCAUGUUUAUUCAGGGUUCUUAAGUGUGGUUCUUAGUAGGGAUAGCAAUCAAGGAUCUGGACCGCGGGCCUGGCCCGUAAAGGCUUGCUGCGGGGCAGGAUUGCGCCUCCAUUUGGUAAGCCCGCAAAAUUGCGGGCCUCGCGGGACGGGUUCAAAGCGGGACGGGUCAAAAGCGGGACGGGUCAAAAGCGGGACGGGUCGAAAGCGGGAUGGGCUUAACCCGCGAGAUUUUGAAGACCCGCAACCCUAAGUCCCCAUUUCUGCUUUCGCCUAAAAUAUUGAGAGAGAGAGAGAGAGAGAGAGAGAGAGAGAGAGAGAGAGAGAGAGAGAGAGAGAGAGAGAGAGAGAGAGAGAGAGAGAGAGAGAGAGAGAGAGAGAGAGAGAGAGUGAUGUUAGGAGUUUUCAAGGCUCCUAAGACAAAUGUUGUAUUAUAAAUGAUUGUCGAACCAGUUCUGAGAGAUAUCAAAGCACCGAGAAUGCAAGUAAUCACUUAAUCUAAGUGCAACCAAUGAUUUAGAUGAGUUUUUAAACUAAGAAUAAUUAAAAGGAAUAACUAAAUGAUACUUUCUUAACUAUUAGAAAAGAGAACUCAUGGAUAUAGGGAUUAGACCUCGGGUGAUCAAGUUUCGAACUAAAGAUAGCAAACGAUCAAUCAAUCUAUUAACCUUAAGCUUGGACACAAUCCUAAACAAACUCUAUGCCUAGAUGAAUGUUCAUUUGCUAACACAAUUCAAACAUCAAAUGUCUUUGGCUGAAUAAUAUGAAAGCAAUCAUAACUAGAAAGUCCAAUGGCUUUCUUAGCACCUCUAACAACAAAUGUCUUUGGCAAAGUAUGCUAAAAGCUAAGAAGAGUUGUCUCGGACAUUUUCUCGAACACCUUUCGGGUGGGAAAUGCCUAAGGAUCAACUACUGAGUGGCCAACUCAGAAGAUGCUUUAUGUUCACUCUACUAGCAAGGAAAUAUGAAUGAUCUACACUAAAACAUCCUAGUUCUAACCUAAUCACCCUUAAUCUCCCUAACCCAUGAAUUCAAAAGGUGAUUACUCACUAAUCUCCAUGAUUCCUCUUAAACCCAUGUUGGAUUUCAGAUUAAUCAUGUAGAGAAACACAUGAAAUAGAUAAGAACACAGAAUUUCAAUAAUAAACUGAUCAAUUGAUUCAAAGAGAUAACUUUCCAAAGGUUUUUGGUGGUUUUUUCUAAGAACAAAGAUGAUCCUCCUCUUGGUGGCUCUUAGAGUAUUAAAACAUAGGUUUAGAAAAUAAAAACGUGCAUAAAAAAAUGACCAAAAGGCCCUUGAGAAAUCACAAGUUCGAGCAGAAAUAAAACGCGCAGCGACCUCAGCCCGUCGCUCCGAUAAGUCGCUCCAGGCUUCGGGAGCGACCUCGUUGUGUCGCUGCGAGAGGUCGCUCCGGGCUCGUUCUCGCGUCUCCGAGUGAUGAAAACGCGAGCGACUUCUCCUUGUCGCUCUGGUAAGGUCGCUCUGAUAGGGAGAUCAGAGCGACUUGGUGGUGUCGCUCCGGACUGGUCGCUCCCAUGCCUUGCUCGCCCAAUGACCACUCUAAACACUCCUUUUUGAGCUCCAAAUGCCUCCAAGUGUCUCCAAGAACUCCAUGUGGUACUCCAAUACCUGAUAAGGACUCAUGUAUGCAAAAUGCAACCUAAACAUGGCUAAAUCCUAAUCUAUACGAUCAAAAUGCACAUGGAUGAAUGGAUAAAACAAUAGAAAUAUGCAAGAUAUCAGAGAGAGAGAGAGAGAGAGAGAGAGAGAGAGAAAACGAUUCUUGUGACUUUUCCCCCAUAAAACAUAAGGAGUUCCGGCGAUGAUGCAUGAUUCGUCUGGUGAUGAUGAUUCGUGCUCCGGCGAUGACGACUCCAGCUCCAGCGAUGACGAUUCGAGCUCUGGUAUUGUUUUGAUUUGGUUUUCUCUUUUUAUUACACACAACUAUGAAUUGCUUUAUUACAAUGUGAUAUUUUUUGUUUAAGUUGAUUGGUUUUGUUUUCAGUAUUGUGAAGUGGUGUUUAGGAGAAAAGUUAGUUGUAUAACACGUCACUUGUAUAAUUUGGUAAAGUGAUUCACGAUUUUCUUUGCAAUCCAAAUAAUUAAAAAGAAAGAUGGUUUGAUGAAGACAUAAAACACUUGAGCUAACUUAUUACAAAGAUAACAACUCAAUCAGAUUCAAACUCAACAAAAGCUUAUGCUGAUAACAAAAGAAGGCUUUUAACUCAAGAACGCAAGCACAAACGGAGCUUUGUGGCAUCGAUUUUGAUAAGUCUUUAGUGAAGCUAAAUGAGCUCUCUUCAACUCUCUUACACAACUCUUAUACUUGAGCAUUCAUGAAAAAAACUGUAGUAGACGGUUUGAUAAGGAAGCGUCCCGCGGUACGGGUUUGGGCCGACAUUUUGAAGACCGCAGUCCGCGCGGGACAGGCCCGCUGUAACCCGCUCGACGACUAACCCGUUGCGGUACGGGACGGAACGGGACGGGUAAACCUGUUUGACAUCUCUAGUUCUUAGGCUAAUAAGUAAUUAAAAAAUGAAAAAUGGCAAUUAACUUAAGAGGCGGGUCUCGGAGAGGUGAUUUUAGUCGGUGAAGAAAACUUCAACCCGACGAAGGAUAUGUGUUCUCUCUUCCCCGAAGUCGACGAUGACCACGCUACCAUACGCCGACGUCGUUACCUCUCUCGCAGAUGAUGGACCUGGAUUCUCCGCGAAGGAGGUAGGAGGAAAGAGCCGUGAUCGUGGUCGCGGUCUCCGGAACUAUAUAUACAUCUCAAUUCGUAGUUGAGCGUAUCGUCUCACAUGAUGUUGAUGGGAUUCAGAUUAAGCCAAAGUCUAGACAUAUUAGGUGUAGCUUGAGGGAUUGCGAUGAUGGGCUUAUUGAUAUCACUAACAGAGCGCUGCGCUGAUAUCAUUGUUUCUAGGUUUAUGUUUAUGGUUUAUUUAUUUGUGAGUGUUGUGACUGGUGCUUAGUUUUGUGUUCUUGGUUUUACAGAUGUCAGCAUGAUAAGACGAUGUUGAUUGGAGCAGAUCCUUCUCAUGUUGAUGAUAGAAAAAUUGCUUAGUGAUCAACCUCAACUUCUUCAGCAAUUUGGAUUGGAUCUUCUUCCAGUUCUAGCGCAGGUACUCUCUGUUGUAUGUUAAACUAUCUUUUUUCUUUCCAAUAGAUUCAUGGUUCGCCGUAAAUGUCUCUCAGUUAUCGGAAAGUUGAUAGCACUUCAGAAAUGAUGACACAAAUAUAUCUAGGUAUGUUGUUUACUAUUAAAUUACUUCACGUGAUAGUGGGUGCAACAUCUUAUAUCUUUUUCGUAUAUCCACAAGUCUUGGUCCAUGCUCUUCAAGUUGCAGAAAUUCUGAUGGAAAAGCUUCCUGAAACGUUCUCUAAAGUUUUCGCGAGGGAAUGGGUGGUUCAUGCUGUAGAUCAACUUGUCUUGGUUGCUAAACCUUUAUCUCAUGCUUGUUUCUGAGUUUGUUUGUUUGUUUCUCAGUUUAUUAUUACGACUUUGUUUUGAAGACUGAAGUUCAUGUUUGUUUCUGAGUUUAUUUUUAGGGAAAUUUGGCUGUAUGACGCUGAAAAAAACCAUAAUUCACCUUCUAACCAAUUUCCCUAAUAUAUCGAUA